rnacentral:pre_miRNA from 1 species
ACUUCUAAGUUGUUAACGCAAAUGUAACUUUGGUUUUGCGGUAGCAGAUUAGAAGUAC